AUGUGGGUUAUGCAUAUAAUUUAUAAAUAAAUAUAUGCAUAUGUUGGUUAGUUUGCACGAACUUUGCUUUUCCUAGUGGGAGGCCGAGAUUCAGCCGUGGCUGAGAAUGACCAGGACGCUAGGGAGUGUUUCCAGAGGGAGGGACGGGAUCCAUUCGAGGCCACGUUGGAGUCUUGAGGCCUGGAGUCUCGAGGGAAGACUGAGCUUUGGUCCUGGCUGACUCAGGAGGGAGCCUGACCUGGGCCUGGGGCUGAGGGCAGGGAGGCGUAGGGAGGGGAGAAUGCCAGAAGUUCUGGACAAGGCAGGAGUGCACACUUUGGUAAUAGAUGGGAUGGGGCGGGGAGAGCUUGGGAGGUAACCAUGCUGUUGCCCAGGACCUGGUCCCUGUGACGAGGUCCGUCCAGGCUAGCUGGCCCCGAAGGCCCAGACACCGCGUCCUCCAGCCUUAUUCUCCUGCACAGCCCGUCUGAGCCAAAGAGAGCUCACAAUGUACGUCCUCAUGCCAGCAGCCAGUGGGGGGGUGGCCAAAGCCCCGUGUCCCAGGCCGCUGGGUCUGGAGGUCGCCCUGGCAACAGGCUGUGUUGUGAUGCUUCACAGAGCCAAGGGCUUGUUAGUCAGAGCCACACAGGAAGGUCCCCUCUGACCCUGGCAGGCCGGCAGGCCAAAUCUGGACACUCCUGGGAAUGGCCCAAUGACAGACCAUUGUCGGGCCUUGUUACCAGACCAGGAGAAGAGCAGCUGGCCAAAGGAGAGAGAGCAAAGAGAAAGUGCCGCAUGCCAACAGAGGAAGGGAAGGAACGAGCUGAGUUCCAGAGAAGUCACACGGCCAGAAUGCCCGCUCUGGGCCAGGCUUGGUGCCGACCAUGAGGAUUCCGUGGAAGCCACAACAGACAGGGCUCCUGCCGUCGAGGUGUUUAAGUGAUGCCAAGACCAUUCCCUAAGAGGGAGGAUGGCCUUUUCAACGAACGGUGCUGGGGCAGCUGGAUAUCCACGUGCGGAGGAAUGAAGUUGAUCCCCUAUCUCAC